GCUUCUAACGUGUUGCCUGCCUUCAGUUUUUUUUUUUCCAAUGAUAUUUGGUAAAUUGCAAUCCUAGUAAAACAUUUCAUGCCAUUUGUUCUCCUAAAGCAACUUUUUCUUUUCUUUUCUUUUCCUUUUUUUUUUUUUUUUUUUCCAUUGGGGGGAGAAACAAACCCCAGCAUGACUUGACUGGAUAAAUACACAUAAUUUAUCAUGAUUACAAAUUUACAUGUUAAUUUGUGUUUCUGAACCAGAGUACAGGUACCAGUUUCUUGGGAACUCUUAAAGUAGCUAUGAAAUUACUGGUUAGCAAACUGAAAGCCCCUGCAAUAAUUACACGUAGCACACCACCCCCAUUUCACCAGUUGACGUCCUAAGGAAUUCGUGUGCCGUUUGCUCCCUCUGCACUGGAGCGGUCACAAUUUUACUGUAAUUGCCAUUUUUACACCAGCAUUUCAGGUAUAGUUCUUAAAACUCCGUGAGCAUGUUAAACAUGUGGAAUACCCUGGACUUCCUUUUGAAAGUCACAUUCCCGGUUCGACAGCGGUCUGGCCUGACUCCACUCCAUCUCCGCACCAGCCCCCCACCCCCACCCCCAACAUCCACGCCAGACCCACAAGGCAGUCCUAUAUUUACAAACACGUUUAAAUUGUCAUUGCAUUCCAUAACUCUCAAUAAUACUUGAGUUUUAUACAUUCACAUGUUUUAAAAGCGCAGUUUGUAGAAGACACUAGGAGAAUUUCAUUCCAUUUGCUGGAUGAUUGCUGCUCUGGCUUUUUAAGACUUGGAAUUAACUUUUAUUUAGAGCAAAGGAAGAAAUCUUUUAAGAGGCUAAAUUCAUGCUGCUAUUAUUGCUGUGAAAUUGUAUAAAGAUUAGGAUUCAUGCCAGUUCUUUUUUUUUUAUUAUUAUUUAAAAGAAAAUCAUGUGAUUGCAUUUUAAGGGUUUAUAUUUAGAAAAAAAAAUAAAGUUUUAAGAACACAGUUAUUUAUAUGUGGAAAUACUCUAUAAGGUUUUCUUUUGUUUACCCAGAGAAAUUCAUUCAAUAAGGAUCAUGGUAGCAGCCCUGACAUACUGACCUGUGGAAGGUCUGGAAAUGUCUCUACAUUACAUAUGCAGACCCAGUGGGAAUAGAAUCACAGUGUUAGGGAACCUGAUAGGAUCCUUCACACAAACACAUCAAGUGCUAUAUACAGGAGUUUGAUCUUUGGCGAAUAUGCAGCACUAACUUUUUUUUUUUUUUUUAACCUUAACCAUCUUUGUGUCACGUAGGCAACCCAUCGCCCCUCUGAGAUCACACAAGCCCUGUAAGUUCUCACCAGCAGCAUGGAGUGUAGGAAGGAGCCAGUAUGACGAGGAGGUACAGAAGGAGUUAGGAACUGGGAUCCCAGAAGGAAGCGGCUGAAGGAGUCCUGUCUAAUUUUAAUAUUUGUGGAUUUGUUGUCACACACAUUGUUUACUCCUGAACCUAAGUCUCUUUUAUGAAGACGGAGGUUAAUUCCUCAGAACCAGUACUUUAUUAAUGUCCUGUGGGCUUAGAAAUAUCAGGUGGAUAUUUUGAAUACAGAAUAACAACUCAAAUUUACUGGUAUAAUCGUGAAACACCGGCUUUAGGUAAAAUCUAGAGUUGUUCCAUUUAAUGUACGUAGUGACAGCCUUAACUUUGGAUUCAGUUUUUUUGAGGGACUUUGCCUGUAUCUUUCCCUUUCUAAUACUGUAGGGUAGAAACCUUGUGGCAGGUUACUGUGAGCCAGGCUAACUCAGCACAGUUCACAUGGUGUGUGACUUCGCAAACAGUUAACAGUUCAAAUUUUGACAUGGAGCAUUAUGAUCAAGGAAAUGGAGCUGCCUUAUGCAUUAGACCCAUAAUUUAAUUCUAUUGGUAUUUUCAUAGCUGUGUCUCCAGAUUGUAUCUUUUUGGCAAAAUUCUGAUGUCACAGUUUGGUUUGAUUGAAACAAAUACUCCCUGGAUGUCUGGCCAGAGACUUUGCUAACAGCCCCAGAGGUGCCACUUUCUUACUAAUUUCAUCUGAGCCUUAUUGCUUUAAUGUAUUCAGUUUGCUUUUAAAGACGCAAAUCCCCAGGAUGGUCCCACCAAUAGGGCCUGCACAUUUUUAGAAUGGCAAAGCAUUUUUUAAAAGUUAGGGUCAGGUUGAAAACUUCUAAGACGACUCUGUUAAAGAGGGACCGUCAGAUUGGGAAUGGAGAUAGAAGGGUAGGUAACCACAUUUGAAGUGGCAAUAGAUGCAUACGAUGUAAAUUGGAAAUUUGCCCCUUGAGUGAUAAAAGGAGCCUGCAGGGUCCAUAUAUCUGUUCCCCGCUUUGUUUGUCAAUCAUCCUUCAUUAUGUUGGCAAAGUAUCAUCUGAGCAAUGUGUGUAAGGAAAUUAUAAUGAAAGCAAAAGUAUGUCAGAAAAGUUACUUCCAAAUGGUUAGAGGCAUGUGAUUUUCAGUACUGUGUGUUACGGAAACGUCAGGAAUGGUAUAUUUUAAUGUCAGUGUGCACAGAGGGUCUUUUUUCCUUUUCUGAUUAGUAACUGUUAGUGUUCAAAGAAUAAAAAUGGUUGUUUUACAGUUUAGAUUCUAAGGUAGCAAAACCUGAUUUUUCAGCCAUGACCUGCAUGAGAGAAGCAUCCUAGGAAGUCUUAGAUCAUACCUUUGAGUUCUUAACUUUAAUUUAUAUAGUGUUUUUUUUAUGUUUUAAUAUUUUUGUGAACUGGUGUAAAUUGUUAAUGCAUAUAAGCUUGUGUAUUUUUGUAAAUAGUUUUGUGAUUUAUUUCUUGACCCAUAUGUAAAUAUUUAGAGUCUCAUUUCUUCAAAACUUAUUUGAAGCUGAGUUGUGGGCUUGGGGUUUUGUUUGUUUCUUUGUUUUGGUUGGGGGAGGGGGGAGAGCAGAGAUUUUGUACUCCAAUAAUCCAGAUGGAGAUAUCUUGUGGUUUAAAGCAAAUGUCCCACUGAAAGCAAUUCAAAUAUCAACAAAAUUAUUUCAGGUUAAAACAGA
rnacentral:lncRNA from 1 species